rnacentral:rRNA from 1 species
CAANGUAUGCUUUGGAAACUGUUAGACUUGAGUGCAGAAGGGGAGAGUGGAAUUCCAUGUGUAGCGGUGAAAUGCGUAGAUAUAUGGAGGAACACCGGUGGCGAAAGCGGCUCUCUGGUCUGUCACUGACGCUGAGGCUCGAAAGCGUGGGUAGCGAACAGGAUUAGAUACCCUGGUAGUCCACGCCGUAAACGCUGAGUGCUAGGUGUUAGGUCCUUUCCGGGACUUAGUGCCGACGCUAACGCAUUAAGCACUCCGCCUGGGGAGUACGACCGCAAGGUUGAAACUCAAAGGAAUUGACGGGGGCCCGCACAAGCGGUGGAGCAUGUGGUUUAAUUCGAAGCAACGCGAAGAACCUUACCAGGUCUUGACAUCCCGAUGCCCGCUCUAGAGAUAGAGUUUUUCUUCGGAACAUCGGAGACAGGUGGUGCAUGGUUGUCGUCAGCUCGUGUCGUGAGAUGUUGGGUUAAGUCCCGCAACGAGCGCAACCCUUAUUGUUAGUUGCCAUCAUUAAGUUGGGCACUCUAGCGAGACUGCCGGUAAUAAACCGGAGGAAGGUGGGUAUGACGUCAAAUCAUCAUGCCCCUUAUGACCUGGGCUACACACGUGCUACAAUGGUUGGUACAACGAGUCGCAAGCCGGUGACGGCAAGCUAAUCUCUGAAAGCCAAUCUCAGUUCGGAUUGUAGGCUGCAACUCGCCUACAUGAAGUCGGAAUCGCUAGUAAUCGCGGAUCAGCACGCCGCGGUGAAUACGUUCCCGGGCCUUGUACACACCGCCCGUCACACCACGAGAGUUUGUAACACCCAAAGUCGGUGAGG